rnacentral:rRNA from 1 species
UCAGAACGUCGUGAGACAGUUCGGUCCCUAUCCGUUGUGGGCGUAGGAAAAUUGAAGAGAGCUAUCCUUAGUACGAGAGGACCGGGAUGGACCAACCUCUGGUGUAUCUGUUGUAACGCCAGUUGCAGUGCAGAGUAGCUAUGUUGGGAAUGGAUAACCGCUGAAAGCAUCUAAGCGGGAAGCCAACUUUAAGAUGAGUUUUCCCAUAUUUUAUAUAGUAAGAUCCCAGAAAGACUAUCUGGUUGAUAGGCUGGAGGUGGAAGCAUGGCGACAUGUUGAGCUGACCAGUACUAAUAGAUCGAGGAUUUAACCCU